GAUGAACGCUGGCGGCGUGCUUAACACAUGCAAGUCGAACGGAAAGGCCCAACCUUGCUUGGACUCUCGAGUGGCAAACGGGUGUGACACACGUGGGUGAUCUGCCCUGCACUUCGGGAUAAGCCUGGGACACUGGGUCUAAUACGGGAUAGGACCACAUUAGGGUGGGUGUGGUGGAGAGUUUUUCGGUGUGGGUUGAGCUCGCGGCCUAUCAGCUUGUUGGUGGGGUAAUGGCCUACCAAGGCGUCGACGGGUAGCCGGCCUGAGAGGGUGUACGGCCACAUUGGGACUGAGAUACGGCCCAGACUCCUACGGGAGGCAGCAGUGGGGAAUAUUGCACAAUGGGCGCAAGCCUGAUGCAGCGACGCCGCGUGGGGGAUGACGGCCUUCGGGUUGUAAACUCCUUUCGCUAGGGACGAAGCGUUAUGUGACGGUACCUGGAGAAGAAGCACCGGCUAACUACGUG
rnacentral:rRNA from 1 species